GUGAAAUAGACGUUUUUCGAUAUAAUUUACUACGUACAACUCCUAUGAUUAUAAAAUUCUAUUGAAGAUCCUCCUCUUUUGAACCACAAAAUGGGAAAUUAUUCGUUUUUUUACUUAUUUCAAAUGUAAAAGUAGGAAUUCAUUCAUGUAAAAUAAAUUUCUGUAACAAUCAAUGUAAAACCUGAAAAGCUUAAAACUAAGGUCAAAAAUAGGAAUAAAAUUUCGACUUGGGAAAUCGAUUGGCGUAACGCAACUAUCGAGAUCCGAUAAUACGAAGCGCAUAAGUGAAAUUUGCACGGCCUGGCGUGACUUUGCGAGCCAAGCGCGUGAAGUUGCGAUUUGCAAAUCGAAUAUCUGAAUGACGAGAGAGAUAGAGAGAGAUAGUGAGAGAGGGGGGGGGGGGAGAAAAAGCGAGGACGAAGCGCGACGACGUGCGAUUGCAACCGCACGACGCAGCUUGACCAGUGCUUUUCAGUCCAUCGCAGCGGCCGAAACGUUGCGUAAUUGCCGCAACGAAAGUCCGCACGGCGCGUGUCGUUCUCCUUCCAUUCGCGAUUCACACGCGAAUUCGAGUGAUCCUGUCCUAAAGUCUGUAGAUUCAGAGGGCUCCGAAAUGUCCUGAGAUUCAAACGAACAUUCAACAUAUUAAAUGUAAAAAUGUAAAAAAAAAAAUUCCUAAUUUUGGUUUAAUAUUUAAAGAUUCGGGGGAAUCUAUAUAAAGCGGAAUUUAGAAUUUUGCGUUUUUUGAAAAUUCAGGGUGCAAAUAUCUCAAGAUCUAAAGAGAAAUGUGUUCCCUCGUGCUUCCUCUCGCUAUUUUGAAAACAACGAGAUUGAAAGAAUAA